rnacentral:rRNA from 1 species
UACGUAGGGCGCAAGCGUUGUCCGGAAUUAUUGGGCGUAAAGAGCGUGUAGGCGGCUUUACAGGUCCGUUGUGAAAACUCGAGGCUCAACCUCGAGACGCCGGUGGAAACCGUAAAGCUAGAGUCCGGAAGAGGAGAGUGGAAUUCCCGGUGUAGCAGUGAAAUGCGUAGAGAUCGGGAGGAACACCAGUUGCGAAGGCGGCUCUCUGGACCAGCACUGACACUGAGGCACGAAAGCGUGGGGAGCAAACAGG